rnacentral:rRNA from 1 species
CAGUAGCCGCGGGAAUACGUAGGUGGCAAGCGUUGUCCGGAAUUAUUGGGCGUAAAGGGCUCGCAGGCGGUCUCUUAAGUCUGAUGUGAAAGCCCCCGGCUCAACCGGGGAGGGUCAUUGGAAACUGGGAAACUUGAGUGCAGAAGAGGAGAGUGGAAUUCCACGUGUAGCGGUGAAAUGCGUAGAGAUGUGGAGGAACACCAGUGGCGAAGGCGACUCUCUGGUCUGUAACUGACGCUGAGGAGCGAAAGCGUGGGGAGCGAACAGGAUUAGAUACCCCAGUAGUCCCUGUCUCUUAUAC